rnacentral:rRNA from 1 species
AGUGAACGCUGGCGGUAGGCCUAACACAUGCAAGUCGAACGGCAGCACAGUAAGAGCUUGCUCUUACGGGUGGCGAGUGGCGGACGGGUGGGGAAUACAUCGGAAUCUACUUUUUCGUGGGGGAUAACGUAGGGAAACUUACGCUAAUACCGCAUACGACCUACGGGUGAAAGCAGGGGAUCUUCGGAACUUGCGCGAUUGAAUGAGCCGAUGUCGGAUUAGCUAGUUGGCGGGGUAAAGGCCCACCAAGGCGACGAUCCGUAGCUGGUCUGAGAGGAUGAUCAGCCACACUGGAACUGAGACACGGUCCAGACUCCUACGGGAGGCAGCAGUGGGGAAUAUUGGACAAUGGGCGCAAGCCUGAUCCAGCCAUACCGCGUGGGUGAAGAAGGCCUUCGGGUUGUAAAGCCCUUUUGUUGGGAAAGAAAAGCAGCAGGUUAAUACCCCGCUGUUCUGACGGUACCCAAAGAAUAAGCACCGGCUAACUUCGUG